rnacentral:misc_RNA from 1 species
UUACACGUGAACAUGAGAUCGGACUAAGUCAUGACUAAAUACCGGGUGAAACUUUAAAAUAAUAGAAUUGCAAAGAUUUGACAUUGACUUGAACUUUUAAGAUCGGAACCAUUAUUAGACCGGAUAGAAACCUUAACUUCAUUUUAAGAAAUAUCUGGGGCAUUCAAAUGAGAAGCCCGAUCAUAACAUUAGCCAAAUGAAAUUCCACAAUAUUUGUAAAGAGAGA